UACGAGGGGGGCAAGCGUUGUUCGGAAUUAUUGGGCGUAAAGGGCGCGUAGGCGGUGCGGUAAGUCACCUGUGAAAACUCUGGGCUCAACUCAGAGCCUGCAGGCGAAACUGCCGUGCUUGAGUGUGGGAGAGGUGCGUGGAAUUCCAGGUGUAGCAGUGAAAUGCGUAGAGAUCUGGAGGAACACCGAUGGCGAAGGCAGCCCCCCUGGGCUAACACUGACGCUCAUGCACGAAAGCGUGGGGAGCAAACAGG
rnacentral:rRNA from 1 species